CCCACUGCUGAUUCUGGCAUAGAGCGUGAUGGAUCAAGACCCGAAGCUUCUUGCAGAGAAAGCCAGUGAUGGCCAAAAGCCCCAGCGGCGAAGCGAGCUUGAGCUUUGAAGACGUCGACGACGACGAUGGAGUCUAGGUACUUGGGCGAUGGCAAGGGUCGAAUGCUUAGGGAGGAGGGGCUCGCCGCGGAGAACGUCUAUAUCCAGAAAAUGGAGAGGGAGAGGAUGGAGAAGAUGAAGCAGAAAGCGGAGAAGGAGAGAGCUGCGGGUGAGAAGGCUACAGCAUCGGAGAAGAAACCUGAGGGAUUGCAGAAAGGCUGAUGGCAGCUGCUCUGCUUUGGCUAUCCAGAGAAGUUUUCAGUUUUGUACAUAUAAAUACUGUUAAAAAAAAUAAAUAGUGAAUAAAUGUCAUUAUCUCUUGAUGUAAAUGAUUUGGCUACCGCUUGAUAAAAGGUUUGUGAAUGUAUCACUCUGCUUGACUACUUCACUAGAGUCUGAACCAUCGGGCCUUAUUUUCACUGUUUUCUUAUACAGAUAUUUGUCUUACAUUUUGAUUUUUUGAGCACUUGAUGAUGAAUGCUUUAUGUUUAAUAUAAGAAAUUCUUUUUUAUUUGCAAUUGUGCUUACCACUGUGUUGAGGUGAAUAAAUUUUUUCGGAUCAUGUUUCGAAGAGCAGAAGCGCAAGAAACUAAGACAGACUGCAUAGUUAAUGGGUUGCAAUGAUGAUCUCCAGGCAUAAUGCUGGGCUGGGUGAAGGCAAUGGUUCAAUGAUUCUAUCAUUCUGCUCUGCCUAUUGAUCUCCAAGCUUGGGAAUUGCACUGAAACAAAAAGAAGAAACAAGGAUGGCAUCAACAAUUGGGGAAACUGAUGAAGCAUUUCCAGAAGUUAAUGUAACCAGACAAUUGAACCUUGGUGUGCCAGAAGAGUUCCCUGUGGAUCCUGUUUCAUCUAAAGUGGCCAUCUCCAAAGCUCAUAAGGAGCAAGCGGAAGCAGAGGCGGAGGCAGAGGCGGCAAAGGCGAAGGAGAACUGCAGCUGUGCGCUGACCUCAACUCUUGUUGUUUCGGGUGUGGUGGUGAUUGCCAUUGGAGUGGCUUUCAUAGUCGCCAAGAAGUACAGGGCAUUAUGAACACUACUUAACUAAUAUUGCUAUGUUUUUGUGUUUUCCAAUAUUACUAUUCUUUGAUUCUCUGUGCAUGGGGGAUUGACUCUUUGUUUUUGUUUUGUUUUGUUUUUUCUUAGAGGUUAUUGUUUAUCUGUAAUUUUCCUGCGAAAUAU